UAGACGCCAUGCCGCGCAGCCUGACGGAGCACGCCGCGUGAGGGACGAAGGCCUCUGGGCUGUAAACCUCUUUUCUCAAGGAAGAAGACAUGACGGUACUUGAGGAAUAAGCCACGGCUAAUUCCGUGCCAGCAGCCGCGGUAAUACGGGAGUGGCAAGCGUUAUCCGGAAUUAUUGGGCGUAAAGCGUCCGCAGGCGGCCUUGAAAGUCUGUUGUUAAAGCGUGGAGCUCAACUCCAUUUAAGCAAUGGAAACUACAAGGCUAGAGUGUGGUAGGGGCAGAGGGAAUUCCCGGUGUAGCGGUGAAAUGCGUAGAUAUCGGGAAGAACACCAGUGGCGAAGGCGCUCUGCUGGGCCAUAACUGACGCUCAUGGACGAAAGCCAGGGGAGCGAAAGGGAUUAGAUACCCCUGUAGUCCUGGCCGUAAACGAUGAACACUAGGUGUCGGAAGAAUUAACCCUUUCGGUGUCGUAGCCAACGCGUUAAGUGUUCCGCCUGGGGAGUACGCACGCAAGUGUGAAACUCAAAGGAAUUGACGGGGGCCCGCACAAGCGGUGGAGUAUGUGGUUUAAUUCGAUGCAACGCGAAGAACCUUACCAGGGUUUGACAUCCUGCGAAUCCCUUGGAAACGAGGGAGUGCCUUCGGGAACGCAGUGACAGGUGGUGCAUGGCUGUCGUCAGCUCGUGUCGUGAGAUGUUAGGUUAAGUCCCGCAACGAGCGCAACCCACGUCUUUAGUUGCCAGCAUUCAGUUGGGCACUCUAGAGAGACCGCCGGUGAUAAACCGGAGGAAGGUGUGGAUGACGUCAAGUCAUCAUGCCCCUUACAUCCUGGGCUACACACGUACUACAAUGCUACGGACAAAGGGCAGCAAACUCGCGAGAGCUAGCAAAUCCCAUAAACCGUGGCUCAGUUCAGAUCGUAGGCUGCAACUCGCCUACGUGAAGGAGGAAUCGCUAGUAAUCGCAGGUCAGCAUACUGCGGUGAAUACGUUCCCGGGCCUUGUACACACCGCCGUCACACCAUGAAGUUGGCCAUGCCCGAGUCGUUACUCAACCCGUAGGAGGAGACGCCGAAGGUGGGGCUGAUGACUGGGUGAAGUCGUAACAGUAGCCGUACGGGAGUGCCGCUGAUCACCUCUAACAGAGAACAAUACUGAUGUGAUGUCUUGCUAAGUAAUGGCUAGCAUGAAUCUGUCAUCUCCGAUGCUAUCGGUACUACGACGAAGGAAGCGAUGUAUCUCAAGCGAAUGGGAAUCCAAAGUUGAUCGU
rnacentral:rRNA from 1 species